GACGAACCGUGCGAACGUUGUUCGGAAUCACUGGGCUUAAAGGGAGCGUAGGCGGGCUAACAAGUCUGGGGUGAAAUGCCGCGGCUCAACCGUGGAACUGCCUCAGAUACUGUCGGCCUCGAGGGAGAUAGGGGCAUGCGGAACUAACGGUGGAGCGGUGAAAUGCGUUGAUAUCGUUAGGAACUCCGGUGGCGAAAGCGGCGUGCUGGAUCUCUUCUGACGCUGAGGCUCGAAAGCUAGGGGAGCAAACGGGAGUUAGA
rnacentral:rRNA from 1 species